CACGUAGGCGGCUUUGCAAGUCGGAUGUGAAAUCCCCGGGCUCAACCUGGGAACUGCAUUCGAGACUGCUUUGCUUGAGUAUGGGAGAGGGAGGCGGAAUUUCCGGUGUAGCGGUGAAAUGCGUAGAUAUCGGAAGGAACAUCAGUGGCGAAAGCGGCCUCCUGGACCAAUACUGACGCUCAUGUGCGAAAGCGUGGGAGCAAACA
rnacentral:rRNA from 1 species